AGUGAACGCUGGCGGUAGGCCUAACACAUGCAAGUCGAACGGCAGCACAGUAAGAGCUUGCUCUUACGGGUGGCGAGUGGCGGACGGGUGAGGAAUACAUCGGAAUCUACUUUUUCGUGGGGGAUAACGUAGGGAAACUUACGCUAAUACCGCAUACCACCUACGGGUGAAAGCAGGGGAUCUUCGGACCUUUCGCGAUUGAAUGAGCCGAUGUCGGAUUAGCUAGUUGGCGGGUUAAAGGCCCACCAAGGCGACGAUCCGUAGCUGGUCUGAGAGGAUGAUCAGCCACACUGGAACUGAGACACGGUCCAGACGCCUACGGGAGGCAGCAGUGGGGAAUAUUGGACAAUGGGCGGAAGCUUGAUCCAGCCAUACCGCGUGGAUGAAGAAGGACUUCGGGUUGUAAAGCCCUUUUGUUGGGAAAGAAAAGCAGCAGGUUAAUAACCCGCUGUUCUGACGGUACCCAAAGAAUAAGCACCGGCUAACUUCGUG
rnacentral:rRNA from 1 species